AUUGAACGCUGGCGGCAUGCCUUACACAUGCAAGUCGAACGGCAGCACGGGUGCUUGCACCUGGUGGCGAGUGGCGAACGGGUGAGUAAUACAUCGGAACGUACCUUAUCGUGGGGGAUAACGCAGCGAAAGCUGUGCUAAUACCGCAUACGCCCUGCGGGGGAAAGCGGGGGAUCGAAAGACCUCGCGCGAUUAGAGCGGCCGAUGCCUGAUUAGCUGGUUGGUGGGGUAAAAGCCCACCAAGGCGACGAUCAGUAGCUGGUCUGCGGGGACGAGCAGCCACACUGGGACUGAGACACGGCCCAGACUCCUACGGGAGGCAGCAGUGGGGAAUUUUGGACAAUGGGGGCAACCCUGAUCCAGCAAUGCCGCGUGAGUGAAGAAGGCCUUCGGGUUGUAAAGCCCGUUUGUCAGGGAAGAAACACCGGCUCUAACACAGUCCGGGAAUGACGGUACCUGAAGAAUAAGCACCGGCUAACUACGUGCCAGCCGCCGCCGUAA
rnacentral:rRNA from 1 species